AGCGAACGCUGGCGGCAGGCCUAACACAUGCAAGUCGAACGCACCUUCGGGUGAGUGGCGGACGGGUGAGUAACACGUGGGAACGUACCUUUUGGUUCGGAAUAACGCAGGGAAACUUGUGCUAGUACCGAAUGUGCCCUUCGGGGGAAAGAUUUAUCGCCAUUAGAGCGGCCCGCGUUAGAUUAGCUAGUUGGUGAGGU
rnacentral:rRNA from 1 species